rnacentral:rRNA from 1 species
GACAGAGGAUGCAAGCGUUAUCCGGAAUGAUUGGGCGUAAAGCGUCUGUAGGUGGCUUUUUAAGUCUGCCGUCAAAUCCCAGGGCUUAGCCCUGGACAGGCGGUGGAAACUACCAAGCUGGAGUACGGUAGGGGCAGGGGGAAUUUCCGGUGGAGCGGUGAAAUGCGUAGAGAUCGGAAAGAACACCAACGGCGAAAGCACUCUGCUGGGCCGACACUGACACUGAGAGACGAAAGCUAGGGGAGCGAAUGGG